rnacentral:ncRNA from 1 species
CAAAUCGGAUCCGUUACUUCGGGAAAAGGAUUGGUUCUAAGGGCCGCGUCACACAGGCCGAGAUACGUGUUGGCGCAGUUGGAGGCUAGUUUCUUUGCUGCUUUUUGUGCUUCGGUGCGCAUUUUUGUGGAGCUACUGGGCUCUGACCACGAUCGAUCGUGGUUGGUUUUAGCUGUAAGUGUUACGUUGCUAGCAAUGCGCCUGGACUCGCUCUGCAUUGCGUCAAGCGGCUGUGCUUCCAUUGUUUGGCGUGCGACGGCGAACUUAGAACUGACACGGACCAGGGAAAUCCUAUUGUCUAAUUAAAUCAAACCAUUGCGAUGUCCGCUGGCGGGUUAUGACGCAGUGUGACUUCUGCCCAGUGCUCUGAAUGUCAAAGUGAAGAAAUUCAACCAAGCACGGGUGAAUGGCGGGAGUAACCAUGAAUAACCACUACUGCAUGGGUUAAUCCUUAUCAUUUGUGCGAUCGGGUAUUAUCGUAGCAAAUAACAAUUG